GACGAACGCUGCGGCGUGCCUAAUACAUGCAAGUCGAGCGAAGUUUUUCUGGUGCUUGCACUAGAAAAACUUAGCGGCGAACGGGUGAGUAACACGUAAAGAACCUGCCUCAUAGACUGGGACAACUAUUGGAAACGAUAGCUAAUACCGGAUAACAGUAUUUCUCGCAUGAGAGAUAUUUAAAAGUUGGUUAUGCUAACACUAUGAGAUGGCUUUGCGGUGCAUUAGCUAGUUGGUGGGGUAAAGGCCCACCAAGGCGACGAUGCAUAGCCGACCUGAGAGGGUGAUCGGCCACACUGGGACUGAGACACGGCCCAGACUCCUACGGGAGGCAGCAGUAGGGAAUCUUCCGCAAUGGGCGAAAGCCUGACGGAGCAACGCCGCGUGAGUGAAGAAGGAUUUCGGUUCGUAAAGCUCUGUUGUUAGGGAAGAAUGGAUAUGUAGUAACUAUACAUGUAAGAGACGGUACCUAACCAGAAAGCC
rnacentral:rRNA from 1 species